rnacentral:lncRNA from 1 species
UUUUUGGACCUAAAUGCAUCAUUACAUGGGCCUAUCACACUCCCAUGCAUCCAUGCAAAGGUAAAUUGCUAUUUUUGGAAUUUUGAAAGGAGGGUGUGAAGCCAAUUGCAUUUCCUAUAAAUGAGACCCUUCAUGCUCAGAAUUAUGGACCCCGACACGCAAGCUUUGAAUCAACAACCCUAAACCCUCACAUUCAAAGGAUAAGCUUGGUGACUUUCAUUGAAAAUCGAGUUUGAAUCUCCCACUAUUUUUUAGAUUGAAACUCUAAGAGUCCACCACUUU